rnacentral:sRNA from 1 species
UCUUAGCCCCGAUUGAAGUGAAAAGCCUUUUUGAAAAAAGACCUUAUUUUUUCUGAGUUUAUUAAGCGACCAGCGGAAGCUGAAUAAACUUAUGGAAAAAUGGGAUUUUGAGAAAAGCUUGCAACGGAAAGCGGGAUUAGCU